UACCAGCACCCCGAGUGGUCGGGACGAUUAUUGGGCCUAAAGCAUCCGUAGCCGGCCUUACAAGUCCUCCGUUAAAUCCAGCUGCUUAACAGAUGGGCUGCGGAGGAUACUAUAAGACUAGGAGGCAGGAGAGGCAAGCGGUACUCAGUGGGUAGGGGUAAAAUCCGUUGAUCCAUUGAAGACCACCAGUGGCGAAGGCGGCUUGCCAGAAUGCGCUCGACGGUGAGGAUGAAAGCUGGGGGAGCAAACCGG
rnacentral:rRNA from 1 species